rnacentral:rRNA from 1 species
AGAACGAACGCUGGCGGCAUGCCUAACACAUGCAAGUCGAACGAGACCUUCGGGUCUAGUGGCGCACGGGUGCGUAACGCGUGGGAAUCUGCCCUUGGGUUCGGGAUAACAGUUGGAAACGACUGCUAAUACCGGAUGAUGACUUCGGUCCAAAGAUUUAUUGCCCAGGGAUGAGCCCGCGUAGGAUUAGCUAGUUGGUGAGGUAAAGGCUCACCAAGGCGACGAUCCUUAGCUGGUCUGAGAGGAUGAUCAGCCACACUGGGACUGAGACACCGGCCAGACCUCCGUACGGGA